UGGGCGGUGUCGCUGAGCCGCGGCGGCGGAGCGGAGUGGAGUGUAGCCUCUCUCUGCUGCCUGCUCCCAGGCUCGCUCCUUCUCCUGGCGUCUGUCGACCCCCUCCAUGUCCCCGGUGGGCACAGCACCCCGGAACCUCCACGCCCACGCCCACUAGCCUGAGGAGGCCCUCCUUCACGUCCGGUUCUUGCUCCUCGACCGACGCAGACGACGAGGGCGUGCGCGGCGCCUGCGAGGAUGCUUCUGUCUGCAGGAGGAGGUACCUGUCAAGUCGUGCGACGGCUGUGCAGUGCACGGAGCGGGGGUUCGCUGGUUGAGCUCACGUUUACCUGACCUGUGACGUGUGCCGGGCGCGGUGCCAGCCUGGGGAUGCGGUGACCCGGAGUCAGGCGCUGAACCAGCGGACGUGGUCGUGGCUCUUGGAGCUCAAGUCUUGCUAGAAGGACAGACGUGAAGCAACGAGUAACGACAGUCUUGUGGCUGCACCAGUUUGAAGCAACCUAAGUGCCCAUCAAUGAAUGAGUGGAUAAAGAAGAUGUGAUACAUAUAUACAAUGGAAUGUAUAUACUCAGCCGUAAAGAAAGAGAAAAUCAUGCCAUUUGCAACAACAUGGAUGGACCUUGAAGAAACACAGUGUUGCCUGUAAGAAAGACGUUGGACUUGGAAGUCAGACCCGAGUUCCCCUGCAGCACCCAUCAGCUGUGGGGCCUCCUCCUUGGAGCCUGUUUCCUCAUCUAUAAGAUGGUGUUGCACAUGCGUCCCGCGUAGAGUUCUGGUUAAGAUUACACGUGUGCGUAUUUACACAGCAGUGAAACCAUGAAGUAGCCAUUAUCCUUUAAAAAUUUUUUGAAGAAAAUCUUGAUUUUCCACCUCAUAGA